rnacentral:rRNA from 1 species
UUUACAACUCCCAAACCCAUGUGAACAUACCUGUCUUGUUGCUUCGGCGGCGCCUCCGGCCCUCACCGGCCGCGGCCCGCCAGAGGACCCAAAACUCUUUUUGCAUUUGAAUACAGUAUUUCUGAGUGACAUGAUUAAAUCAAAUCAAAACUUUCAACAACGGAUCUCUUGGCUCUGGCAUCGAUGAAGAACGCAGCGAAAUGCGAUAAGUAAUGUGAAUUGCAGAAUCCAGUGAAUCAUCGAAUCUUUGAACGCACAUUGCGCCCGCCAGUAUUCUGGCGGGCAUGCCUGUUCGAGCGUCAUUUCAACCCUCAAGCUCUGCUUGGCGUUGGGGAUCGGCAGCCCGGCUUCGCGCCGCGCCGUCCCCCAAAUACAGUGGCGGUCACGCUGCAGCCUCCCUUGCGUAGUAGCACACCUCGCACCGGAGAGCGGCGCGGCCACGCCGUAAAACCCCCGACUUCUUGUUUUUGACCUCGAAUCAGGUAGGACUACCCGCUGAACUUAAG